GACGACGCUGGCGGCGUGCCUAACACAUGCAAGUCGAACGAAGAAUGUUUUCGGAAUAUUCUUAGUGGCGGACGGGUGAGUAACGCGUGAACAAUCUGCCCCGUACAAAGGGAUAGCCUCGGAAACCGGGAUUAAAACCAUAUAACGCUUUAGUACCGCAUGGUAAUAAAGUCAAAUCGAUUAAGAGGUAUGGGAUGAGUUCGCGUCUGAUUAGCUAGUUGGUGAGGUAAGGGCUCACCAAGGCGACGAUCAGUAGCCGGCCUGAGAGGGUGAACGGCCACACUGGAACUGAGACACGGUCCAGACUCCUACGGGAGGCAGCAGUGGGGAAUUUUGGACAAUGGGCGCAAGCCUGAUCCAGCAAUGCCGCGUGCAGGAUGAAGGCCUUCGGGUUGUAAACUGCUUUUGUACGGAACGAAAAGGCUCUGGUUAAUACCUGGGGCUCAUGACGGUACCGUAAGAAUAAGCACCGGCUAACUACGUG
rnacentral:rRNA from 1 species